GGCUGUGACACUGAUGAUUGCUGGAUGAAUUCGACCAUCUCUUACCUGUCGGUGGACAAGCAAUUAUUCACCGUGAUUGUGGACGAUAUGUUGCGAAACCCACCAGAUUCAGACAUAGAUUUAAUUUUUGAUGUGGUUCAAAAGAAGGCUCUGUUCCUCAAAUUGAAGGAACAUCUGGUGCCAAAGAUGCUGAACCAGUCUCUAUACUUAAAGCCCGAGACUCUGGGAAACUGCCACAACUAACUUGGGUUGAAGAUCGAAGAGGCUUGGAUGAUAUAUCAGGUCCAGAAUUUAGUGGGCUUGGUCAUAUGGUCAAGCUUCGAAAGCUGACGGGUCACCAUCUACGUCAAACGGGCUGGACACGAAUAUCGUCAUAUAUAGUUCCUGAUGUAGAUGACGAAGCUGCUCCAAAUGAUAUCCCUCGGGAUGAAGCAGAAAAUUCGGCUCAACAUGGGCCCAAUGUGGAAGUGGCAGCUGUUAACUCCCAGGCUGGGAUGUCAAGAAAGAGGCCAGCUAGUACUAUGGAGGCCCAUGAUUCUGAUAGUACAUUUGUACGUAUCACACCCUUCUGCCCACAGGGAAGGGCCUGGUAACUUGGAUCCGAACUAUGAAU